GAUGAACGCUGGCGGCGUGCCUAAUACAUGCAAGUCGAGCGAACAGAUAAGGAGCUUGCUCCUUUGACGUUAGCGGCGGACGGGUGUGUAACACGUGGGUAACCUACCUAUAAGACUGGUAUAACUCCGGGAAACCGGGGCUAAUGCCGGAUAACAUCUUGAACCGCAUGGUUCUACAGGGAAAGGGGGCUUUGCUGUCACUUAUACAUGGACCCGCGCCGUAUUAGCUAGUUGGUGAGGUAACGGCUCACGAAGGCAACCAUACGUAGCCGACCUGCGAGGGUGAUCGGCCACACUGGAGGGGAGACAGGGUCCAGGGGCCUACGGGAGGGAGCAGUAGCGAAUCUUCCGCAAUGGGCGAGAGCCUGACGCAGCAACGCGGCGUGAGUGGUGGAGGUGUCCGGUUCGUGAAACUGUGUUAUGAGUGAAGAACAAAUGCGUAAGUAACUGUACGCGUCUUGACGGUACCUAGUCAGAAAGCCACGGCUAACUACGUG
rnacentral:rRNA from 1 species